CCUACGGGGGGCAGCAGUAGGGAAUUUUCGUCAAUGGGCGCAAGCCUGAACGAGCGAUGCCGCGUGAGUGAAGAAGGCCUUCGGGUCGUAAAGCUCUGUUGCGGGGGAAAAAAGGCCGCAUCAGGAAAUGGGUGCUGACCGAUGGUGCCCCGCCAGAAAGCCACGGCUAACUACGUGCCAGCAGCCGCGGUAAUACGUAGGUGGCGAGCGUUAUCCGGAAUUAUUGGGCGUAAAGGGUGCGCAGGCGGUCCUGCAAGUCUGGAGUGAAAGGCAUGAGCUUAACUCAUGCAUGGCUUUGGAAACUGGAGGACUGGAGAGCAGGAGAGGGCGGUGGAACUCCAUGUGUAGCGGUGAAAUGCGUAGAUAUAUGGAAGAACACCAGUGGCGAAGGCGGCCGCCUGGCCUGUUGCUGACGCUGAGGCACGAAAGCGUGGGGAGCAAAUAGGAUUAGAUACCCUUGUAGUC
rnacentral:rRNA from 1 species